UAAGCAUAUCAAUAAGCGGAGGAAAAGAAACCAACAGGGAUUACCUCAGUAACGGCGAGUGAAGCGGUAACAGCUCAAAUUUGAAAGCUAGCUCUUUUAGGGUUCGCAUUGUAAUUUGUAGAAGAUGCUUCGGGUGUGGCCCCGGUCUAAGUUCCUUGGAACAGGACGUCAUAGAGGGUGAGAAUCCCGUAUGUGACUGGGUGCUUUCGCUCAUGUGAAGCUCUUUCGACGAGUCGAGUUGUUUGGGAAUGCAGCUCAAAAUGGGUGGUAAAUUUCAUCUAAAGCUAAAUAUUGGCCAGAGACCGAUAGCGCACAAGUAGAGUGAUCGAAAGAUGAAAAGCACUUUGGAAAGAGAGUUAAACAGUACGUGAAAUUGUUGAAAGGGAAGCGCUUGCGACCAGACUUGCGCGCUGAUGAUCAUCCGGGCUUCUGCCCGGUGCACUCGUCUGCGCUCAGGCCAGCAUCGGUUUCGGUGGUGGGAUAAAGGCCUUGGGAAUGUGGCUCCUCUCGGGGAGUGUUAUAGCCCUCGGUGCAAUGCCGCCUACCGGGACCGAGGACCGCGCUUCGGCUAGGAUGCUGGCGUAAUGGUCGUAAGCGACCCGUCUUGAAACACGGACCAAGGAGUCUAACAUCUAUGCGAGUGUUUGGGUGUCAAACCCAUACGCGUAAUGAAAGUGAACGGAGGUGAGAACCCUUAAGGGUGCAUCAUCGACCGAUCCUGAUGUCUUCGGAUGGAUUUGAGUAAGAGCAUAGCUGUUGGGACCCGAAAGAUGGUGAACUAUGCGUGAAUAGGGUGAAGCCAGAGGAAACUCUGGUGGAGGCUCGCAGCGGUUCUGACGUGCAAAUCGAUCGUCAAAUUUGCGUAUAGGGGCGAAAGACUAAUCGAACCAUCUAGUAGCUGGUUCCUGCCGAA
rnacentral:rRNA from 1 species